CUCACAGAAGUCCGCAGCAAAGUCUUGCUGUGAAUGGGGUCUUUGUUCUGUGAGACUGUUUCUGAAGACUCCUGGCUCUCUGUUCGUCUUUGCAUACGAGGCUGAAACACAAAUUUGUCCAUAUGCUUUUGUUUUCAGCACGUUCGCGUCCUCAUAACUCCCCCUUUCUCACAGAAAUGCUUGAAGCUCUCUGGUAGGUGUGCUGUAUAUUGUCACGGUGGCUAACCUGUGAAGCUGUGCUGAUUUAUACCACCUGACAGCACGCUCCGUAGCGUGUGUUUUUACUAAAUCCAUAUUUUUCCAAUUUCUUCAUGCUCUUGCAGUGGCAGUUUUUUUCAAUCCAUCAGGGAGUGGGAUCCUGCAUCCAGAGUAUGUAAAUAACAGCUGUUUCCACUCAAUUUGCAUUUAUAUACUUAACACUUCAAAAUAGAUUAUUUCUAGAAGCUUUCACAAUCUGGUCACAAUUCCUACUUAGUCAGAGGUACUGGGGAGAUGUUAAUGAAACCCCUCUGGACUAGCUGAGGAAAAAAAAGAUACAGCUGCAACAAUGAAAUUCCCCAGGCAGGAUGGAUCGGUUUUGCCUCUGACGGUCGUACUUCAACAAGGCAUGAAGGAUCUCUUUUCAUCUCCUUGGGCAUCUUCAGCAUGAUUUCUAAGCAGGUGACAGUGUGCCAGUCCCAACAGGGGCAUCUCUGAACUGGGUCCAACGAUGCUGAGGACUCGAGUUGUUUGGAGAGAACAACAAUUAUGUGUCUCAAAGUAUCUGAAAUGAUGUGCAACCGUCCUGCGGCCUGCUAUAACGGUGCUUCCCUAGUGUGAAAGCAAAGGAUAUGCAAAGAUGACUUAAUGAUGUCACUGGGAUCUCUGCAGAAGCACGAUGUUCCAAGCUGGCCUUUUCUACCAGAAGGCUGAUGCCUAAACUGUAGACUGGAGUAAAGGAUCUAUUUCUGAGAAAAAAUGGUAGGUGACAAAAUAUUUUAAUAGCAGAAACAUUUAAGGACUGCAAAAUGCUAAAGGCAUGAAUUAGAAUAAAACCAUGUUUCUUGAAAGCAUUUGAUAUUAUAAAGGGCCAGUCCUUCCCUCUUUGUAAGCUGGAACGAGCUGUGUCUUUUCACUGAUUGAUUACCCAGCUAAAGCAAAGAACUCUUCCUGCCCUGAGCUACAGCCAUUCAAUGUAUGUAUGAACAUUGCAUCCUCACUGAACAAUAGUUGGAGUGAGUUUAAAAAAACAAAAUCCAAAGCAAACAUACACAGAAACAUCUCAAAUAUUUGGGAAUGCCAGGCGAUUUAGAAGGAUGAGUGAUGCUGUAGAAGCUGAAGUUUAACCAAGUUGGCCAGUUUUCAGUACAUGACAAGCCUUAAAUUCUUUAAUGUCAGCACUCAAAGCUUAUCUGCGUUUCAGGUACUUGAUUUCCAAAAACACCAAACUCCAGCAUGUCCAGUUCUAGAACUCCCAUUCUGAAAUAUUGCUUCUAUUUAUUCCCUUUACUAACGACAAACCUCUGGCCUGCUUUAAUCAGAUC